rnacentral:lncRNA from 1 species
AAGCAAUUUGCUCAUAGCCAUAGCUUUCUUGUGAAAGUAGGAUAUUAACCCAGGUGUCUUGGUGCUGGAGAACAGAACUGGCCAGAGUCCAUCCUGUCUCCCACCGGCAUCCCAUUACGAAAUGAACACAGAAAAGGCAGGUCUGCAAUGCCAACAUCUAGUAUCUAUCCCAAAGACCAGGGAGAAAGGAAGGAAAGAUUCUGGUUCUGUCCUCUUCCCCAAGGCAAGGCUGGCUGCCCUACCAACAGAGGCAAAGAGAAGAGUGUGCAAGGCUGGCUGCCCUCCCAACAGAGGCAAAGAGGAGUGUGUGUUGAAAUAUCCAUUGAAUCCCUGAGACAACUGGAUCCUGGCCCAUUGAAUCAUAAACUCAUUUCAGAGAAGAUGAAACUGAUGUGCGUCAAAAAGUAAACUACCCACAUUUUAACUGGGCACAUUCCUGUCAAUCUGAUGAGAAUCUAUUUCAUACCCUGCUUUAGCUGGUAGUCUGUCAAGGAAAUGAGCUGAACAUGUCUGUGUACAGCUUUUGUGCCAUCCCUGGAUGAGCGAGCUGUCUGCCUCUAUGUUCUCCACAAAAUGGAAUAUAGCUGUACACCCAAGCCAAGUUAUGGAGGCUGGGAAGACCUAGAAUGUGGCAUCACUAUUUGGAAACCAUGCCGAUUACCGACCGAGCUCUCAAUGGAAAAAUGCAGUCGGCGUGAACCACGCACGAACACAGCAGAGAAAGAAGAAAACACACACCACGAGGAACCCUAAUAGGACAAUACAUUAUAAGCCUCAUGGUACAUCCACUUGGUGUGCUGGGAGAGUCAGGAUGAGGACCUGAGAAGAACAGCAGCUUGAACCUGACUUCAUUUAACAGCCCACUGCCCUCUUGCCAAGAACCCAUCACAGACCUUCCCAGAAGAGAGGGAUGAGCCUCACCUAUGAAUAAGUCCUCAGAAACUCAAAUUUGAUUCUAAUGGAUUGUUUUCUCAGAAAGACUGAGCAUGUCCCCCCACAUCUCUGUCAUUUCCCACAGUAGUAACCUCUGCAGAUGCCACAUAGAAAACAAAACAAAACAAAAAAACAUGAGGUUGGUGGGCAGAUAGGCAGGGUAUAAACAAACAGCCUUGUAACCCAGAAGCUGUGUGAUAUACAGUAAACUUCACAACACUGAAAAGAUGUCCUAUCUGUUAAAAUGGGGUAAUAACAACUACCCGAAUGUUUAGGAAUAGAACUUCAAUAAAUGAUACAUUUUAUAGUACAGCAGACCAUCCUGUAAAGGUUUCAUCCUUCACUGUGGUGAUAAAUAUCCCAAACCACAUUGAAAAGCAUUGCAUCUACAUUUAUCUACACUGUAACUGUACUGUAAAUCAUGGGGGAGGGGAGAAUCAUAAAAACACCACCUGUCACCGUGUCAUUAAAGCAAGUUGGAAGUGAUACUUACAGAAACACAGCAAGAGCACCCCCAGUCACACAGUUCAAUCUCUUAGCAAGCGUUUUCUUUCUAGCCCAGUGGUUCUCAGUUUGGAAUUUUUGGCACUGCCUAGAGAUAGUUUUGUUGUUAAAACUGAGAAAAGAGCCGGGCGUGGUGGCACACGCCUUUAAUCCCAGCACUCAGGAGGCAGAGGCAGG